AGGCUGUAAAUGUGAGCGGAGGAGAGAAGACUGGAGGAGCACUGAGGAGCAACUCUUCAUAAAAGCGCUCUGGUUUUUAUCAGGACCUCCUCAGGGAGGCAGUAGGGAGCAGCUGGCAGAAAGAAAAGGGUUGAGGUAAAAUUCUCAACAUGAUUCAUCAACAAUCCAUGUUCCUACUGUUCCUCAGAUGUCACUGCAGCAGAACAGAAAGCUGCUGGUGUGGAGACAAAUGCCUUCAAUAAAACCAGAAAACAUCGUGAUAAGAUCUACUUUAUUCAUCCUGGAGGAAAAUGAUCUUGCCAGAGUACAACAAUAAACAAAGAGUGAAAGCAGCAGUUCCUCCUUUAAGUCAGAGAUUGCAGCAUCUGAGGGCCUCUUCAACAGAAGACGUAGUUGAUGAAGGCGUUCUGGAGCAGAAAGACCACGACCAAGCAGCCUGGAGAUCUUAGGCAGCGUCUCCCUCAGUUUCACACUUCUCUGUAUUAAAAUCCGUUCACCACACUGGCCUGUUCCUUGGAGGAUGCGGUACAGAGGAGAGUUUAGCUGUGAAUCCCAGUAUAGGACAGGAGUCACACUGGGUGUAACAGUACAAUGAAUAUCACACAUUUACGUUGGAAAUAAAUGUCCUUUAAUUAGACAUUGUCAUGCAGAAGUUGCAUUUCCCUUUAAUGAUGUUCAGAUCUUUGCUGAGUGUUUUGUUGAUGUUGGUUUCUAAAUGUUUUCUGACACUCGGCCCCAAACAUUAAAACCUUCUACGGCUCACAAGCUGCAACAAUUCACACAUUACCAACUAUCUUUGUGACUAAACUAAGAUAAAAAGUGAAAAACUGUUCACCUGUGGAUUCAUUAGAAAUCCUGAACAAACUUUGAUUCUCUUCAUUGAACAGUAAAGUUUGUGGAGAUCAGAAGGUAACAUUAGUUUGAUCGAUGCCUUCAACUACUAGUAGACUUUAUCUGGAAAGCAGUUUUCUGAAAUGAGUUCUUAGUAAAUCUGUCCACAGUCAAACCAAGAACACAGAAAGAGGAAAUGUUUGAAGAAACAACUUGUUUUCAUUUCAGACUAGAAAACGCUUAAAGACCUUUAUCUGUUUUUGCUCUUUUUCAUCGUUUUAUCGUCUCUUCUGUUUAAUUUGAUCUUCUAAAGUCUAACUGGUGUCUUUUCAAAUGUUUUGUCUUUAGUUUGAUUCUUCUUAAAUGUUAAGUUUGCUCUUUUCUCACCUUUUAUUCUUUUCUAGUGUCUGAUUUGAUUUAAAAAUGUUUUGUCUUGUUAAUGUUUAAUUGUUGUUUUUUCAAAUGUUUUAUUGGCUUGUUUGAAAAAUUUCCUUUUCUUUCCCAAUGUUUAAUUUUUUACAUGUUUUAUCACCUUUUAAUAUUUAAUUUUCUUUUUAAAUGCUUCAUUGUAUUUUCUGUUUAAUUCCUAUUUAAAGUCUUAUUCUUUCAGAUUUAAUUUUCUAAUUGAACAUUUAAUUAUUUAACUAAAUGUUUAAUAUUCUUAAUUGUAUUUUUAAAUAUUUAAUUGUCUAAAAUAAUUCAUCUUUAAUGUUAAAUAUUUUUGCUUUAAAAAAUCAUGUUUAAUUUCAUAAUUACUCCACCUUAGGGGUAGAAUAAGUCAGGUGGUCCAAAACUCAACUUAUUUAGCGCUGACAAAGUUAGAAAAAGGGGGGGGCACUUCUUCUGCAACUUGAUGGCAACACCUUUGACCAAUCACACUUGAAGCACUUUUUGCACCAAGUAAAGGUUUUUCCUUAUGUCUGAAUUCUUGCUUGUGUUGUACGUCACUUUGGACAAAAGCGUCUGCUAAAUGAAACUGUAGAACUGUUUUGUAUCUUCUAUUUAAUUAACUAAUUCAAUAUUUUGUCUGUUUAAUGUAAUUUCAUUGUAUUUAAUGUUUUUUUCAUUUACUUGCUUUAAGAUGUAGUUUAUUUCUUUAAUCUUUUUUCCGUCAAGAUUUUGACCCCAACCUUAAAAAUGAAACAAACCCUUAAAUCACAAUAAAAAUACUUCUGUUGUCACAAUCAUGA